rnacentral:rRNA from 1 species
AUUGAACGCUGGCGGCAGGCCUAACACAUGCAAGUCGAGCGGAGUGGCGGACGGGUGAGUAAUGCCUAGGAAUCUGCCUGGCAGUGGGGGAUAACGUCCGGAAACGGGCGCUAAUACCGCAUACUAUCAGAUGAGCCUAGGGCGGAUUAGCUAGUUGGUGGGGUAAAGGCCUACCAAGGCGACGAUCCGUAACUGGUCUGAGAGGAUGGUCAGUCACACUGGAACUUAGACACGGUCCAGACUCCUACGGGCGGCAGCAGAGGUGAAUAUUGGACAAUGGGCGAAAGCGUGAUCCAGCCAUGCCGCGUGUGUGAAGAAGGUAUUCGGGUUGUAAAGCACUUUAAGUUGGGAGGCGUUACCAACAGAAGAAGCGCCGGCUAACUUCGUGCCAGCCGCCGCGGUAAUUC